GUUUCUCAGGUAACUCCCUGGGGUUGGCCGGUACCAUGGAGGAAGAUUGUCUUCAGGGUGCAGGGCCAGCGUCCUACGGCAGUUUCACUCUGAGCCUGUGUCUGGAUCACGGAGACGCGGGGUAGCCGUUCGGAGUGCGGAGCAGGGAUGUCCCCGAGCUGUGCAGCUGCAGGAACCCGAAACACCUGGCGCCAUCUUCUCGGCGCGGUCCUACUCCGGACUGUAUUUCCCAGAGGCCCCCGCGAGUCCAGGGCAGCCCCUUCAUUUGCCUGCUGGACCCUCGUCCUCAAGGGUAGGGGAAGUGCGCGGUGAGCGGCCUGGGUCUUGCGGGCUCGGCUGGGGCCCGCAGACGGAGUCUCACUCUGUCACCCAAGCUGGAGUGCAGUGGCAUGAUCUCAGCUCACUGCAGCCUCUGCUUCCCGGGUUCAAGUGAUUCUCUUGCCUCAGCCUCCUGAGUAGCUGGGAUUACAGGAGAACGGCCUCAAGGAAGAGUAACCAUCUGCAAUACUAGAAGCAAUGGCUGAGGGAUCAGUGAUGUUCAGUGAUGUGUCCAUAGACUUCUCUCAGGAGGAAUGGGACUGCCUGGACCCUGUUCAGAGGGACUUAUACAGAGAUGUGAUGUUGGAGAACUACAGCAAUCUGGUUUCAAUGGGUAAGGGCAUCUGUACCAGUGAUUCCCAGUUUUCCUCUGGAAUGUCUGCUUCUUCCACAGUGAAUUUCUCAGCUGCUUUUGAGGUUACUAGCUGAAUUUCUAUUCUUUAUUACCAAACAAAUGAUUUGAGCUGAAAUGAAAAGGAAGAGUGGGAAAUUGGCAACUCCAGUGGGCUGUGGUUGAAGCUUCAUCUUCAUCUUUCUUUGGCUUUUCCUGUAGUGGCAUCUCUUCCUUGAUCAUCAAGGGACUGGAUCUCAUUUACCCCCAGCGUAACCAUGUUCCAUACCUUUUCUCGUGAGCAGGACUUUACACUCCUAAGCCUCAAGUGAUCUCCUUAUUGGAACAAGGGAAAGAGCCCUGGAUGGUUGGCAGAGAGCUUACAAGAGGCCUGUGUUCAGAUCUGGAAUCAAUGUGUGAAACCAAGUUAUUAUCUCUAAAGAAGGAAGUUUAUGAAAUAGAAUUAUGCCAGAGGGAGAUAAUGGGACUUACAAAGCAUGGCCUUGAGUACUCCAGUUUUGGAGAUGUUUUGGAAUAUAGAAGCCACCUUGCAAAACAACUGGGAUAUCCAAAUGGGCAUUUCAGUCAAGACAUAUUCACUCCUGAAUACAUGCCCACAUUUAUUCAACAGACAUUCCUUACUCUCCAUCAAAUAAUUAAUAAUGAAGACAGACCCUAUGAAUGUAAGAAAUGUGGAAAGGCCUUUAGUCAGAACUCACAAUUUAUUCAACAUCAGAGAAUUCAUAUUGGUGAAAAAUCUUAUGAAUGUAAAGAGUGUGGGAAAUUCUUUAGUUGUGGUUCACAUGUUACUCGGCAUCUGAAAAUUCAUACUGGCGAAAAACCCUUUGAAUGUAAGGAAUGUGGAAAGGCCUUCAGUUGUAGCUCAUACCUUUCUCAACAUCAGAGAAUCCACACCGGUAAGAAACCCUAUGAAUGUAAGGAAUGUGGGAAAGCCUUUAGUUAUUGCUCAAAUCUUAUUGACCAUCAGCGAAUUCACACCGGUGAAAAGCCUUAUGAAUGUAAAGUAUGUGGGAAAGCCUUUACUAAGAGCUCACAACUUUUUCAGCAUGCGCGAAUUCAUACAGGUGAGAAACCCUAUGAAUGUAAGGAAUGUGGCAAAGCCUUUACCCAGAGCUCAAAGCUUGUUCAACAUCAGAGAAUUCAUACUGGUGAGAAACCCUAUGAGUGCAAGGAAUGUGGCAAAGCCUUUAGUAGCGGCUCAGCACUUACUAAUCAUCAGAGAAUUCACACUGGUGAGAAACCCUAUGAUUGUAAGGAAUGUGGAAAGGCUUUUACUCAGAGCUCACAGCUUCGUCAACAUCAGAGAAUUCACGCUGGUGAGAAACCCUUUGAAUGUCUCGAAUGUGGGAAGGCCUUUACUCAGAACUCACAACUUUUCCAGCAUCAGAGAAUUCAUACAGAUGAAAAACCGUAUGAAUGUAAUGAAUGCGGAAAGGCCUUUAAUAAAUGCUCAAACCUUACUCGACAUCUGAGAAUUCACACUGGUGAAAAGCCCUAUAACUGUAAGGAAUGUGGGAAGGCAUUUAGUAGUGGCUCGGAUCUCAUUCGUCAUCAGGGAAUUCAUACUAAU
rnacentral:sRNA from 1 species